rnacentral:rRNA from 1 species
GAGGAAGGAGCGGGCCACGGCAGGUCAGUAUGCCCCGGAUCCCCUGGGCCACACGCGAGCUGCAAUGGCUGGGACAAUGGGCUCCGACCCCGAAAGGGGAAGGCAAUCCCUAAACCCAGCCUCAGUUGGGAUCGAGGGCUGCAACCCGCCCUCGUGAACAUGGAAUCCCUAGUAACCGCGUGUCAUCAUCGCGCGGUGAAUACGUCCCUGCUCCUUGCACACACCGCCCGUCGCUCCACCCGAGUCUGGUUUUGGUGAGGUGCAGCCCUGUUGGUUGCCUCGAACCUAAGCUAAGCAAGGGGGGAGAAGUCGUAACAAGGUGGCCGUAGGGGAACCUGCGGCCGGAUCACCUCCUUAG